rnacentral:rRNA from 1 species
AUGGAUGAGGUGGCGCUGAACGUCGAGGUCGGCGAGCUCGACCCGGGACCGGGGAUGCAGGGCCACCGGUCAGUGGAAUGGUUGAUCUUCGCCAUCGGCUUCACCACCGCGUGCAUGGCGGUCGCCGCGGCUCUGUACAAGGCGCCGACCGGCAUCUUCGACGGCCACAAGCUCGCCUACUACGCCUCCGUCGUCUCCGCCGGCGCUGCUGGCUUAGCGGAGGCCGUCGCUGCGAUGGCAUGGAUGUCCGGCGCCUUGGCAGGCAGCGAGCACGCACGCCGUUGCGUUCUCUACGCUUCAUUUGUGCCGCUGGCGUUCAUGGCCGGCCUCGGUGGCGUUCGCGUACUUCUCAGGUAA